CCGUCAGGCUGUUCUAUCGCUCCGUUAAAGUCGGGGAGGAAAGUCGGGACAACACAGGGCGCCAUACUUCCUAACGGGAAGGUUCUGCCGAAAGGCAGAAACAGCAAGUGCCACAGAAAAUUACCGCCUUGGUGCAAACCGGGGUAAGGGUGAAAAUGUGGGGUAAGAGCCCACGCGUAGCGAUGGUGACACCGCUAUGGGGUAAACCUUAUGGGUUGCAAGGCCAAAUAUACCGGCGAAGGGGCAUAGCUCUUUAAGGACUGCCCGUCCGAUGCCGGUGGGUAGGCUGCUUGAGCUUUGUGGUGACGCAAAGCCUGGAUAAAUGAUAGAAACAUUGCCUUAUGGCAAUUUACAGAAUCCCGCUUACAGGCCUGACGGUUUU
rnacentral:RNase_P_RNA from 1 species